UGCAGAACGUGCAGGUGUGUUACUAUUUGAUUGACUAUUCCACCAUAAACAUGUAACAUCUUUAUAAACAGGAAGACUAUGCAUCAAGCACAGACCUGGAAGCUCCUACUCACAGUACUGAUUGAAAAGGAGAGUCCACUUCACCUUUGCACCUGCAGGACGACCCCCACCCAGGGGCGAGCUUCUCUAGUGGCUGCCCUGAGAAGCCAAAAAACUCAACCUGCAAAUACCAUGAGAGGGACUCCAAUCAACAAAAGGCAGGAGAGGAGAUCAGGUGAUAAAUUGCUUGCUCUUUCUGCUCCUUUUGUCCAGCACCUGUACUGAGACGUGGUCGUUGAAGAAAGCCUCUCUAGAAAUGACUUGCAAUAAUGUACUCCCUUCUGUUUGCUCUCCCUUCUCUGUUCUUUCCUCACUCUUGUGUCCCUGGGAUUGCAUUCUCCAACAAAGUGUUAGCAUGCAAGUGUUUGCCUCCAGUUCUAUUUCUAGAAAACCUGGGCCAAGUAAGGAAUUUUUUUAGAAAUUUUCAAAUGUUAAAUAUACUAUUUACUAUUAGAAAUGCAAACAAGAUUAAUUAGAUCAUUUUCAAUGAGAACAUCCACUUAUUUGCACUGGGCUAUGUUUUGAUCCUUGAGAAAGUAGAUGUCAUAUAGAAUGGUCAUUUAAAGAGAAGGGAGGGUCAAGAAGACAUGGGAAAUGAAUAGUCAAGCAACAGUCAACAAAAUAGUAGUUCUCAUUUUGGAGCCAUCAACAGGAGGUAAUCAGAAACACAUGGCUAUGGUGAGUAUAAAUGUAUUCCCCAAAUAGCAAAGUUUCCAUUAAAGAAGCAUAUAUUAAGGAGAUUUUCUUUCAUUGCUUCUGUUUAUAAUUUAAUGUGCUUCCUGUGCUAUGAAAUGUUAAACUGUUAGAUGCUAUAAAAUAGAUAAAUCUAUUGAGUGACCUACUUUGAUGAAGACAACACAUCUGUGUUUAUAUAUUAAAUUGAAAUAAUUUUAAGACUUGGCAGAUUGUCAGGCAAUAUUCAGACUACUGAUGUUGAGAGAAAACUCAGAAGAAGUGACAAAAAUACAUCUGCUUAGCCAAGCCCUUUGCAUUAUUCAAAUGGAAAAAUGAAUUAAAGUUUGGCAAGAAAGAGGGAGAGUACUUCCUCACUAUGGAAAGUUGGCAUAUAUUAUACCAUGAUUUCAAUCCAUAUUGAAAACAGCUUUACACAUUGAACCAGAUCCCAUGUGUAAAAGUGUGCAGGGUAAAGUCACCCACCAUCAAAUAUUUGGUAGUACAGAACCCUCCAUUAGGAGGCUGACAAAGUACAAAAGGUCUUCUCAUAGAUACAACUGCAACAAAAAAG
rnacentral:lncRNA from 10 species